rnacentral:lncRNA from 1 species
CUUGAGCGAGUAACGAAGCCUGUCCAGCAGUUCCCUUCCAUUAAACAUAGAUUAGUGCAUUUAGCUGCUUCCAAGAGGGGUUGUAUCCUGCUCUGUGGAAGCUUGAAGACAUCGUGCCAACCUUGACAGUUCUCUUACUGCUUAUGCCUUUUUUACCAAGCAGACACAGCCCCGUGCUCAUCUUUUAGCCAACCCGUAAUUUUUUCCCCUGACACGGAAGGUUCAUCACUUUUAGCUUUGAGCAACUACUUCCUCCACAACAUCCUACCAGUCAACCCCUGCCCAACUAGUUCCUGUGUCUGGGAGACAGGAAAGCGAUUGCUCCAGGCUAGUUUUGGCAGAAGAGCUUGUUCCUCAAAAGAAGCAAGGGAUGGAACAAAUUCAGAAGCAGGUCACAGUGAAAUUUUCUGGCUGAAUAGGCAACCGAGUCUGCAAGACUCGUCUCAAAACAUCAUCAACUGCAGUGACUGCCUUCCUCCAUCAUAAAUAGACAUUUCCAGCAAAGACCAAGUUCCCUAACUAGCUAACAUGAACUGGGAAAGUUCCAAUUUCUUCUAUGGAGUUUCCAAGUAUAUAGCCCAGCAGAGACUGGAGCUUUCUGAGUCCAAAGCGUUAAUGGAAAGCAAGACCUGUGACUAUUGCAGAGGAAAUGAUAUUAAUAAAAAUAUUUCAGAAAAUUCUGG